UACGUAGGCAGCGAGCGUUGUUCGGAGUUACUGGGCGUAAAGGGUGUGUAGGCGGUUUUCUAAGUUUGGUGUGAAAUCUCCCGGCUUAACCGGGAGGGUGCGCCGAAAACUGGGAGACUAGAGUGCGGGAUGGGAGAGUAGAAUUCCUGGUGUAGCGGUGAAAUGCGUAGAUAUCAGGAGGAAUACCGGUGGUGCAGACGGCUCUCUGGACCGCAACUGACGCUGAGACACGAAAGCGUGGGGAGCGAACAGG
rnacentral:rRNA from 1 species